rfam:Brachypodium distachyon strain Bd21 chromosome 1, whole genome shotgun sequence.
GUAGUACUCCCUCCGUUCCAUAAUUCUUGUCGAAAUAUCACAUGUAUCUAGACAUUUCUUAGGAAUGGAUACAUCCAUAUUUGAGCAAAUUUGAGACAAGAAUUAUGGGACGGAGGGAGUAGUUA